rnacentral:rRNA from 1 species
ACAACGGAGAGUUUGAUCCUGGCUCAGGAUGAACGCUAGCGGCAGGCUUAACACAUGCAAGUCGAGGGGUAACAUAGAGAAGCUUGCUUUUCUGAUGACGACCGGCGCACGGGUGCGUAACGCGUAUGCAACCUACCUUUUACUGGGGAAUAGCCCGAAGAAAUUCGGAUUAAUGCCCCAUGGUAUUAUAUACUCGCAUGAGUUUUAUAAUUAAAGAUUACGGUAAGAGAUGGGCAUGCGUCCCAUUAGCUAGAUGGUAAGGUAACGGCUUACCAUGGCAACGAUGGGUAGGGGGCCUGAGAGGGUGAUCCCCCACACUGGUACUGAGACACGGACCAGACUCCUACGGGAGGCAGCAGUGAGGAAUAUUGGGCAAUGGAGGCAACUCUGACCCAGCCAUGCCGCGUGCAGGAAGACGGCCCUAUGGGUUGUAAACUGCUUUUAUACAGGAAGAAACACUCCUUCGAGUAGGGAGCUUGACGGUACUGUAAGAAUAAGCACCGGCUAACUCCGUGCCAGCAGCCGCGGUA